rnacentral:lncRNA from 1 species
UAAUUAUCCCAUGCAUGAAUUGCUAACUAAAUUAAUUAAUUAAUUUAUAUCACAUGGUUUGGCUUUAUGAUGAAGACUUGAGAUUUUAAAGUGUAUUUCUCUAAAAGUUUCAGGUUCGAAUACAUUUGGCUAUUUUUUUUAGUUUAUUUUGUUGGUGGAUUUGUUUUGAUUGUUGGGGAAACAAAAAAUAUUUUGAGAAUAAUUAAUUUAAGAAAAUAUGGAUUGUAUGUCUUAUGAAACCUUCUUUGGUUUUAUUCCUAAU